GACGAACGCUGGCGGCGUGCCUAAUACAUGCAAGUAGAACGCACAGUUUAUACCGUAGCUUGCUACACCAUAGACUGUGAGUUGCGAACGGGUGAGUAACGCGUAGGUAACCUGCCUGGUAGCGGGGGAUAACUAUUGGAAACGAUAGCUAAUACCGCAUAAUAUUAAUUAUUGCAUGAUAAUUAAUUGAAAGGUGCAAUUGCACCACUACCAGAUGGACCUGCGUUGUAUUAGCUAGUAGGUGAGGUAACGGCUCACCUAGGCGACGAUACAUAGCCGACCUGAGAGGGUGAUCGGCCACACUGGGACUGAGACACGGCCCAGACUCCUACGGGAGGCAGCAGUAGGGAAUCUUCGGCAAUGGACGAAAGUCUGACCGAGCAACGCCGCGUGAGUGAAGAAGGUUUUCGGAUCGUAAAGCUCUGUUGUAAGAGAAGAACGGGUGUGAGAGUGAUC
rnacentral:rRNA from 1 species